UACGAAGGGGGCUAGCGUUGCUCGGAAUCACUGGGCGUAAAGGGUGCGUAGGCGGGUCUUUAAGGCAGGGGUGAAAUCCUGGAGCUCAACUCCAGAACUGCCUUUGAUACUGAAGAUCUUGAGUUCGGGAGAGGUGAGUGGAACUGCGAGUGUAGAGGUGAAAUUCGUAGAUAUUCGCAAGAACACCAGUGGCGAAGGCGGCAUCCUGGACCGGUAUUGACGCUGAGGCGCGAAAGCUAGGGGAGCAAACGGG
rnacentral:rRNA from 1 species